AUUGAACGCUGGCGGCAGGCUUAACACAUGCAAGUCGAGCGGUAGCACAGGGGAGCUUGCUCCCUGGGUGACGAGCGGCGGACGGGUGAGUAAUGUCUGGGAAACUGCCUGAUGGAGGGGGAUAACUACUGGAAACGGUAGCUAUUACCGCAUAACGUCGCAAGACCAAAGAGGGGGACCUUCGGGCCUCUUGCCAUCAGAUGUGCCCAGAUGGGAUUAGCUAGUAGGUGGGGUAAUGGCUCACCUAGGCGACGAUCCCUAGCUGGUCUGAGAGGAUGACCAGCCACACUGGAACUGAGACACGGUCCAGACUCCUACGGGAGGCAGCAGUGGGGAAUAUUGCACAAUGGGCGCAAGCCUGAUGCAGCCAUGCCGCGUGUGUGAAGAAGGCCUUCGGGUUGUAAAGCACUUUCAGCGGGGAGGAAGGUGGUGAGCUUAAUACGCUCAUCAAUUGACGUUACUCGCAGAAGAAGCACAGGCUAACUCCGUG
rnacentral:rRNA from 1 species